ensembl:bidirectional_promoter_lncRNA 2610306M01Rik RIKEN cDNA 2610306M01 gene
ACCGGAAGUGCUUCUCAGGGCCGCACAGCCCCUGCUCGGGGCCGUCUCGGGUGCAUCAGCUAUAGCUACAGAGCGAAAGAAACCGAUGGCAAGCAGGGGUCCAGAGAAGGGGGACUCGGGACAGAGACACUUGGAAGAGAACGUUGCCGUAGUCCUGCCGCUGAGCACCCUGGGAAAGGUAGUUCGGGGUAAUCUGGCAUCUGGACUACAAUUCCCAAGAUGCCCCGGGAGCGAGCGCACCUUCGGACGCCGUCUCCGGGGCCUGGAGACGUUGUGGAGUGGUGCAGAAGUGAGGCUUCGGGUAUUUAAAUACAUCCGGUAAAGUCACCAGAGACUAGUUUUCCAGCUGCACGUCCCGCUCUCUGUAGCCAUUUUAUCUAUGGCUUGGACACAUGGACGGAGGCACUCUGGGAAUUGUGGUUUCACAGGAGACCGGACUGACACCUGAAGGACGCCGGCUUAACUGCCUCGCCCCAGUUGGGUUUGGGAGUUCCCCGACGUCACGGGAGCGGAGGUACUGAAGGCUUGGGGGCUGGGGAGAAGUGGGUAUGAUGCCAGCAGGGAGCCGAGCGGAAUCUCGGUGCUGAAGGAAACAAAGCAGGUGUCUUCCGGAACCCGACCACGAUGAGAACUGAGAAGCCUGAGGGUCGAAGAAGGAACUGCGGGAAACCCAGUACACAGAGCAUCUAGGGACCAGGCUACAUCCAUCCUUGGGCUCCACCCCAAACCAUGGCUCUCAACCGACCCAGAUUUGCCUGGUCCUCACCAGACAUAUUCACGCCUUUAAAGGGAACUUUAGACACACCUACUGCUUUCUCUUCAGAAUUUUUGACUAGAAGAUGCUGUGUUUGCUAAGGAUCGCUUGGGUGCGGAUAGAGUGCCGGGCUGUGUGAUUGGCACCUGUCAAAUGCUAAGGAUUUGUAAAGGAAUUGAGAUCUCUGCUCCUAGAUUGCCUCACAGAAGAUAUUGAUGCCCUGCCAAAUCCCCACCUCCCCCGCCCCCUCCCCCAAGAAAUACAUGUUUUUUCUCUUUUUUGAGUA